GAUGAACGCUAGCCACAGGCUUAACACAUGCAAGUCGAGGGGCAGCAUGGUCUUAGCUUGCUAAGGCCGAUGGCGACCGGCGCACGGGUGAGUAACACGUAUCCAACCUGCCGUCUACUCUUGGACAGCCUUCUGAAAGGAAGAUUAAUACAAGAUGGCAUCAUGAGUCCGCAUGUUCACAUGAUUAAAGGUAUUCCGGUAGACGAUGGGGAUGCGUUCCAUUAGAUAGUAGGCGGGGUAACGGCCCACCUAGUCUUCGAUGGAUAGGGGUUCUGAGAGGAAGGUCCCCCACAUUGGAACUGAGACACGGUCCAAACUCCUACGGGAGGCAGCAGUGAGGAAUAUUGGUCAAUGGGCGAGAGCCUGAACCAGCCAAGUAGCGUGAAGGAUGACUGCCCUAUGGGUUGUAAACUUCUUUUAUAAAGGAAUAAAGUCGGGUAUGCAUACCCGUUUGCAUGUACUUUAUGAAUAAGGAUCGGCUAACUCCGUGCCAGCAGCCGCGGUAAUACGGAGGAUCCGAGCGUUAUCCGGAUUUAUUGGGUUUAAAGGGAGCGUAGAUGGAUGUUUAAGUCAGUUGUGAAAGUUUGCGGCUCAACCGUAAAAUUGCAGUUGAUACUGGAUAUCUUGAGUGCAGUUGAGGCAGGCGGAAUUCGUGGUGUAGCGGUGAAAUGCUUAGAUAUCACGAAGAACUCCGAUUGCGAAGGCAGCCUGCUAAGCUGCAACUGACAUUGAGGCUC
rnacentral:rRNA from 1 species